UUUAACCUAAUUUUGUUUACAGAGAAGAGAAGAAAACAUAGGUUCGAGGUAUUUUCAGGGGAAAUCAGAGACGAUGGAAUCAAAAAAAGUGGGGAUAAUCGGAGCCGGAAUAAGCGGACUUGCAGCUUGCAAAUUCAUUCUAUCCAAAGGAUUGAUUCCGAUUGUGUUGGAGGCCAGAGACGACAUUGGCGGCGUUUGGACGGAGACGCUGCAGACGACGACGCUACAGACGCCGAAAG
rnacentral:misc_RNA from 1 species